AUCCAGGUAGCAUAGUUACAAUCCCUUCCUCCCAAGAACUAGACGACACAUAGCUUGGAGGUCAACUGAGGUUUUAAUUACAGGCACAGUAUUUAUGAGAUUCCCCAUGCAAGGGGUUUCCCUACUGACAUUCCAGGGGUGGCACAGUAGGGGACUACAUGGGGAACUGAACAAUACAUGCAUUUUUCCCACCAUGCACUGCUGCA
rnacentral:lncRNA from 1 species